GACAGAGGUCUCGAGCGUUAGGCGGAAUCACUGGGCUUAAAGCGUGUGUAGGCGGAGUGCUAAGUACCUUGUGAAAUCCCACGGCUUAACCGUGGAACUGCUGGGGUAUACUGGUUCUCUUGGGCCACUUAGGGGGUUACCGGAACAAAACGGGUGGAGCGGUGAAAUGCGUAGAUAUCGUUUGGAACGCCAAUGGUGAAAACAGGUAACUGGGAGUGUGCCGACGCUGAGACACGGAAAGACCAGGGGGAGCGAACAG
rnacentral:rRNA from 1 species